GAUGAACGCUGACAGAAUGCUUAACACAUGCGAGUCAACUUGAAUUUGGGUUUUUAACUUAGGUUUGGGUGGCGGACGGGUGAGUAACGCGUAAAGAACUUGCCUCACAGCUAGGGACAACAUUUGGAAACGAAUGCUAAUACCUAAUAUUAUGAUAAUAGGGCAUCCUAUAAUUAUGAAAGCUAUAAGCGCUGUGAGAGAGCUUUGCGUCCCAUUAGCUAGUUGGAGAGGUAACGGCUCACCAAGGCGAUGAUGGGUAGCCGGCCUGAGAGGGUGAUCGGCCACAAGGGGACUGAGACACGGCCCUUACUCCUACGGGAGGCAGCAGUGGGGAAUAUUGGACAAUGGACCGAGAGUCUGAUCCAGCAAUUCUGUGUGCACGAUGAAGUUUUUCGGAAUGUAAAGUGCUUUCAGUUGGGAAGAAACAAAUGACGGUACCAACAGAAGAAGUGACGGCUAAAUACGUG
rnacentral:rRNA from 1 species